GGGUUGUGAGGUUAAGCGACUAAGCGUACACGGUGGAUGCCCUGGCAGUCAGAGGCGAUGAAGGGCGUGCUAAUCUGCGAUAAGCGCCGGUAAGGUGAUAUGAACCGUUAUAACCGGCGAUACCCGAAUGGGGAAACCCAGUGUGACUCGUCACACUAUCAUUAACUGAAUCCAUAGGUUAAUGAGGCGAACCGGGGGAACUGAAACAUCUAAGUACCCCGAGGAAAAGAAAUCAACCGAGAUUCCCCCAGUAGCGGCGAGCGAACGGGGAGGAGCCCAGAGCCUGAAUCAGCAUGUGUGUUAGUGGAAGCGUCUGGAAAGGCGCGCGAUACAGGGUGACAGCCCCGUACACAAAAGCGCAUGUGCUGUGAGCUCGAUGAGUAGGGCGGGACACGUGGUAUCCUGUCUGAAUAUGGGGGGACCAUCCUCCAAGGCUAAAUACUCCUGACUGACCGAUAGUGAACCAGUACCGUGAGGGAAAGGCGAAAAGAACCCCGGCGAGGGGAGUGAAAAAGAACCUGAAACCGUGUACGUACAAGCAGUGGGAGCACCCUUUGGGUGUGACUGCGUACCUUUUGUAUAAUGGGUCAGCGACUUAUAUUCUGUAGCAAGGUUAACCGAAUAGGGGAGCCGGAGGGAAACCGAGUCUUAACCGGGCGUUAAGUUGCAGGGUAUAGACCCGAAACCCGGUGAUCUAGCCAUGGGCAGGUUGAAGGUUGGGUAACACUAACUGGAGGACCGAACCGACUAAUGUUGAAAAAUUAGCGGAUGACCUGUGGCUGGGGGUGAAAGGCCAAUCAAACCGGGAGAUAGCUGGUUCUCCCCGAAAGCUAUUUAGGUAGCGCCUCGUGAAUUCAUCUCCGGGGGUAGAGCACUGUUUCGGCUAGGGGGCCAUCCCGGCUUACCAACCCGAUGCAAACUGCGAAUACCGGAGAAUGUUAUCACGGGAGACACACGGCGGGUGCUAACGUCCGUCGUGAAGAGGGAAACAACCCAGACCGCCAGCUAAGGUCCCAAAGUCAUGGUUAAGUGGGAAACGAUGUGGGAAGGCCCAGACAGCCAGGAUGUUGGCUUAGAAGCAGCCAUCAUUUAAAGAAAGCGUAAUAGCUCACUGGUCGAGUCGGCCUGCGCGGAAGAUGUAACGGGGCUAAACCAUGCACCGAAGCUGCGGCAGCGACACUGUGUGUUGUUGGGUAGGGGAGCGUUCUGUAAGCCUGCGAAGGUGGCCUGUGAGGGUUGCUGGAGGUAUCAGAAGUGCGAAUGCUGACAUAAGUAACGAUAAAGCGGGUGAAAAGCCCGCUCGCCGGAAGACCAAGGGUUCCUGUCCAACGUUAAUCGGGGCAGGGUGAGUCGACCCCUAAGGCGAGGCCGAAAGGCGUAGUCGAUGGGAAACGGGUUAAUAUUCCCGUACUUGGUGUUACUGCGAAGGGGGGACGGAGAAGGCUAUGUUGGCCGGGCGACGGUUGUCCCGGUUUAAGCGUGUAGGUGUGUGUUCCAGGUAAAUCCGGUUCACUUUAACACUGAGGCGUGACGACGAGGCACUACGGUGCUGAAGCAACAAAUGCCCUGCUUCCAGGAAAAGCCUCUAAGCAUCAGGUAACAUCAAAUCGUACCCCAAACCGACACAGGUGGUCAGGUAGAGAAUACCAAGGCGCUUGAGAGAACUCGGGUGAAGGAACUAGGCAAAAUGGUGCCGUAACUUCGGGAGAAGGCACGCUGACACGUAGGUGAAGUGAUUUACUCAUGGAGCUGAAGUCAGUCGAAGAUACCAGCUGGCUGCAACUGUUUAUUAAAAACACAGCACUGUGCAAACACGAAAGUGGACGUAUACGGUGUGACGCCUGCCCGGUGCCGGAAGGUUAAUUGAUGGGGUCAGCGCAAGCGAAGCUCCUGAUCGAAGCCCCGGUAAACGGCGGCCGUAACUAUAACGGUCCUAAGGUAGCGAAAUUCCUUGUCGGGUAAGUUCCGACCUGCACGAAUGGCGUAAUGAUGGCCAGGCUGUCUCCACCCGAGACUCAGUGAAAUUGAACUCGCUGUGAAGAUGCAGUGUACCCGCGGCAAGACGGAAAGACCCCGUGAACCUUUACUAUAGCUUGACACUGAACAUUGAGCCUUGAUGUGUAGGAUAGGUGGGAGGCUUUGAAGUGUGGACGCCAGUCUGCAUGGAGCCGACCUUGAAAUACCACCCUUUAAUGUUUGAUGUUCUAACGUGGACCCGUUACCCGGGUUGCGGACAGUGUCUGGUGGGUAGUUUGACUGGGGCGGUCUCCUCCUAAAGAGUAACGGAGGAGCACGAAGGUUGGCUAAUCCUGGUCGGACAUCAGGAGGUUAGUGCAAUGGCAUAAGCCAGCUUGACUGCGAGCGUGACGGCGCGAGCAGGUGCGAAAGCAGGUCAUAGUGAUCCGGUGGUUCUGAAUGGAAGGGCCAUCGCUCAACGGAUAAAAGGUACUCCGGGGAUAACAGGCUGAUACCGCCCAAGAGUUCAUAUCGACGGCGGUGUUUGGCACCUCGAUGUCGGCUCAUCACAUCCUGGGGCUGAAGUAGGUCCCAAGGGUAUGGCUGUUCGCCAUUUAAAGUGGUACGCGAGCUGGGUUUAGAACGUCGUGAGACAGUUCGGUCCCUAUCUGCCGUGGGCGCUGGAGAACUGAGGGGGGCUGCUCCUAGUACGAGAGGACCGGAGUGGACGCAUCACUGGUGUUCGGGUUGUCAUGCCAAUGGCACUGCCCGGUAGCUAAAUGCGGAAGAGAUAAGUGCUGAAAGCAUCUAAGCACGAAACUUGCCCCGAGAUGAGUUCUCCCUGAGACUUUAGGUCUCCUGAAGGAACGUUGAAGACGACGACGUUGAUAGGCCGGGUGUGUAAGCGCAGCGAUGCGUUGAGCUAACCGGUACUAAUGAACCGUGAGGCUUAACCUUACAACGCCGAAG
rnacentral:rRNA from 1 species